CACCUGUGAAUGUGACCUUAUUUGGAAAAAGGGACUUUGCUGAUAUAAUUAAGAGAUGGAGACUGACACGGAGAGAGGUGAAAUCACUUCCCCAAGAUCAUGCUUGUAAGGAGCUGGGAUGCCCAAAGCUUGAACUCUUGGUCAUGAUGUCUGCUUGUCCUCUGUGCUGUUCCCACUGAGGUGGAAGUACUUUGAAGAAAGAACAGGGUUGAAGACUGCCGUUGUGUUUUCUGCAUUACCCAGCACAGGCAUUGUGCUGCCCAGUCCUGGAAUUAAACCCCAGCUUGAGAGGCGGGUGCCAUCCUUCCCCAUGACAACUGCAGCUCAAGAAGCUUCCUGACUUGUCCCGGAUCAUCCAGCCAAGAGGCAGUUGGGACUCCAAAGUCUGGACCAAUACAGCAGGCAACACCAAUACUUGUGGAAAUACUACAGGGAGCCCUGGAGCUCGGAGGGAAGUGCCCAGUAUAAUCGGAAAUGCAUGGCUCAGUCACACUGGGUGAUGGGCACUGAGGGGGGCACUUGGCGGGAUGAGCACUGGGUGUUAUGUUAUAUGUUGGCAAA